rnacentral:rRNA from 1 species
UACGUAGGGGGGGCUAGCGUUGUCCGGGAAUCAUUGGGGCGUAAAGCGCGUGUAGGGCGGGUCCCGGUAAGUCCGCUGUGAAAGUCGGGGGCUCAACCUCGGGAUGCCGGGUGGGAUACUGUCGGGGCUUGAGUACGGAAGAGGCGAGUGGAAUUCCUGGUGUAGCGGUGAAAUGCGCAGAUAUCAGGGAGGGAACACCAAUUUGCGAAGGCAGCUCGCGGGGACGUUUACUGACGCUGAGACGCGAAAGCGUGGGGAGCAAACAGG